GGUUGAAAGAAGAUCAAAGAAUCGGUAAGGUUAACCGCAAUAGGCAUUGUUACGUAACACAGGAUCUUUUUUAGAAACCUCGAUGAUGUGACGUCACGAAGUACCAACGCAACAGAAGAACCCACUUCAACUUUUUAUGUGACGCCACAGAGGAUCAAGAUAGCCAUCAUCAAGAUGACGAAGUCGGAAUAACGAAAGUCGGCGAAUGCUGCUUCAGAAAAAAAGCCCAAGCUGAAGCACAAAGACGAAGACGCCGGUAACGGAUGAUGGUUUGAGGUUUGAGUAUUAAUAAGUGUUGUGUGUGUAUGUG